AAGCCUGACGGAGCAACGCCGCGUGAGUGAAGAAGGUCUUCGAUCGUAAAGCUCUGUUGAUGGGGACGAACGUGCGAAGGGUGAAUAAUCCUUUGUAAUGACGGUACCUAUCGAGGAAGCCACGGCUAACUACGUGCCAGCAGCCGCGGUAAUACGUAGGUGGCGAGCGUUGUCCGGAAUCAUUGGGCGUAAAGGGAGCGCAGGCGGGCAUGUAAGUCUUUCUUAAAAGUUCGGGGCUCAACCCCGUGAUGGGAAAGAAACUAUAUGUCUUGAGUACAGGAGAGGAAAGCGGAAUUCCCAGUGUAGCGGUGAAAUGCGUAGAUAUUGGGAGGAACACCAGUGGCGAAGGCGGCUUUCUGGACUGCAACUGACGCUUGUUGCUCUUUUUGCCAGGGGAGCGAACGGGAUUAUAUACCCCGGUAGUCCCUGGCCGGUUAAACGAUGGAUACUAUUGUUGUGGGGAACGUA
rnacentral:rRNA from 1 species